GCCGGUCCUCGGUAGUGGCUCCCGGGAGACUCGAACCCCGGCAGCUUCGAUCGAAGACCGGC
rfam:Streptomyces tsukubensis NRRL18488 Contig238, whole genome shotgun sequence.